rnacentral:rRNA from 1 species
UACGAAGGGGCUAGCGUUGCUCGGAAUUACUGGGCGUAAAGCGCACGUAGGCGGCUUAGCAAGUCGGAUGUGAAAUCCCUCGGCUCAACCAAGGAAGUGCAUCCGAAACUGCUGAGCUUGAGUACGAAAGAGGAUCGCGGAAUUCCAGGUGUAGCGGUGAAAUGCGUAGAGUAUCGGGAGGAACACCAGUGGCGAAGGCGGCGAUCUGGGAAGAUACUGACGCUGAGGUGCGAAAGCG